GUCUACGGCCAUGCCACCCUGAAUGAGCCCAAUCCCAUAGGAUCUUGGAAGCCAAUCAGGGUCGGGCCUGGUUAGUACUUGGAUGGGAGACCACCUAGGUGCUGUAGGCA
rnacentral:rRNA from 1 species